AGAAAGAGCAGAGAGUAGAGACGCACUCUUUCUCCUUCCCAAACUCGCUCCUCUUAUCCUUCUCUCCUCCUCCAAAUGGAAGCCCUGCUCUGUUUUCCCUCCUCCAUAUCCACGCCUCCUUCCCAAACCCUAACCCUAAAUCGACCCACCAACCCAUUACUCUCCCUAUCUCACAAGCCCAACCCCUACGGCCAUGGUCGCCGCACCCUUCGCCUUCCCACAAUACGAUCCGCCAUUUCCCGCUCCAAGAAGGAAGAGACCGUGGAUACAGUGAGGCAGAACCUGGAGAACUGCUUUCUCCUAGCUGGUAUUAGCUACAAGGGUUUUACCGUCAAGCAAUUCCAGGACCUCCGGCGAUCUCUACCGGAGAAUACUAAGCUAAUCGUAGCGAAGAACACGCUGGUCUACAAGGCAAUCGAGGGCACCAAAUGGGAGGCCCUUAAGCCCUGUAUGACUGGCAUGAACGCUUGGCUCUUCGUUCACAGUGAGGAGAUACCGGCCGCCAUUAAACCCUAUAGGGAGUUCCAGAAGGAGCGGAAGCUUGACGAGAACGACUUCACUGGAGCCGUUUUCGAGGGAAAGUUCUACGGCCCUGGAGAAUUCAAGCAGCUGGAGACCAUGCCGUCUAGGGCUGAGAUUUAUUCUAAGCUUUUGGGGUCGCUUCAGGGCCCGGCAUCGAAUGUGGUGGGAACGAUUCAAGCUCCGGCCAGAGACUUGAUAAUGUUAUUAAAAGCUCAUGUGAACAAAUUGGAACAGGAAGGUGGCGAUGGUCAAUAAUAGCCACCAUUAGUAAAGGGUUUUUUUUUUAUUCAUAAAAGCUAUGCAAGUGCCUUAAAAUUAAUAUUCAUGUAAACACGAAGGAAUAAAUGAUGAAUGACCGUGCAAGUGCCUUAAAAUUAAACAAAAAGAUACUUUUAACCGGGGGGUGGGCGGCUAAGAAGAAGCACACUCCCUUUCCAAAAUGUAAUCCACCGCAUCUUCAACUUUAUCAACAACCUGCACGGGGCAGCGAGAGGUUAAAAUGUAAAAUGCUAGUAGAUAGACUUCCCCACGGAGUUCUUAUCCAAUGAUUUUUUUUUAACCUUUCAAAUGUACCACUGAAAUUAUUAUUAUUAUUAUUAUUAUUAUUAUUAUUGUUGUUUCUUUUUUGAUAAUAA